UAAUACGGAGGGUGCAAGCGUUAUUCGGAUUUAUUGGGUGUAAAGAGCGUGUAGGCGGUUGGGUAAGUCAGAUGUGAAAUCCUUUUGCUCAACGAAAGAAGUGCAUCUGAAACUGCCCAACUUGAGUACGAGAGAGGAAAGUGGAAUUCCCAGUGUAGAGGUGAAAUUCGUAGAUAUUGGGAGGAACACCUGUGGCGAGGGCGACUUUCUGGAUCGAUACUGACGCUGAGACGCGAAAGCGUGGGGAGCAAACAGGAUUAGAUACCCUGGUAGUCCACGCCGUAAACGAUGGGAACUAGGUGUAGCGGGUAUUGAUCCCUGCUGUGCCAAAGCUAACGCAUUAAGUUCCCCGCCUGGGGAGUACGGUCGCAAGGCUA
rnacentral:rRNA from 1 species